rnacentral:lncRNA from 1 species
AUGUUGCAAGUUGUGUUUGAUCGUGCAAACCUCUCCCUUCCUUUGGUGAGUGAUGAGGACGUACAGGUGUGGCUUACCUCCUGGCUGCCACCCCUGCUGGUACAACUUUCACCAGGACAAGUUGCAUCUUACUUCGGAAUACUGGCGGGAAGGAGCUGCAAUAUUGAGAAGCAGGGUGUACUGAACCUGAACAUGACUAUCUCAACACUCAGCACAGACACACAGCAGAAAAUCUAUGGUCAAAUCCUCCAGACCCUCAGAGGUCCAACACCUCUCCGCUGCUACGGUGACAGCUACAACACCAGUUUCUAUGGUUUCCUGGAGCAAUCUUUCAUGGGUUUCCAGUUUCCCAACCUCACCGCCUUCCUGUCGCUCAUGCCUCCUGACAGAAUACAUCUGAUCAUAAAUUCCAUCCCUCCAUCAGAGCUUGGGAAUUACCUACAACGUCCUAAUGUUGUCGACAACGACGCACAGCUCUGCAUGCUCUUAAACAGCUACAGCCAGACACCACAGUUUCUAGAAACUGUACGUAGCCCAAGGCACAUGCACACGCAGAAAUGCAAACACAAUGUAAUGAUUAAACACAUUAAUCUGUGCAUUGCCUCCAGGAGUCUCUACCGGAUGCGGUGAGGCGCUCCAUCCUGCCCUGCGUCUGGCCCGUGGCCCUCAACAGCACCCAAACGUCGGAGGUCAACGCUUGGUUUGACCGUCGCCUCAAGAACUACUUGCCCUUCCUCACAAAGAGCCUGAUCAGUCCCAGUGUCAUAAACAGCACCUCCUGCCUGGCCUUCCAAAAACUGUGUGUUUUACUACAGCACUAAAUCCUGCUUUAUAUGUUUCUUUGUUUUGGGUUCUGAUUUAGAUUUGUUGUGUUUCAGUGUCUCAGUCCUUGGGGUAUACAACUACACUACUGCUGACUUUGUGAGGGGAGACGUGUACAACGCCAUCAGGACUUACCUUUAUGUCGGCUCAAGUAAGUCUUUCAAGCAUGCCCAGGUCAAGGAUCAAGUGGGAUGCUAGUUUAAGUAGAAAAAAAAGACAUUGAUCAAAAGAUAUUCUACAUGAAACUGAACAACAACCACAUUUCACAAAAAAACACAACUGCCUGAGUACAAUUUAAAUUAAAAGGGAAAUUGAGUUGUAUACAAAAUUCAGGGAAUUGCAAUUUUUUUCAGUUUCCCUUCAUUUUGCAGCACCACAGAUUGCUGUGCUUUGGAUAUAUGUGUAUAUACCUAAUACUUAACUGUGUGUAACAGUAGAACAAAGGUAUAGUAGGUAGAACAGUGGUAGUACGAUAUAGCAAUGGAGUACACAUACAAUAUAAAUACAUUAAAAGCAAGCCAGCGUCAAUCUUUCACUGAUGCUUGUCCCCGUCAUCGUUCUUAAUAAGGUUCAAAGAUUUUGUCUUUUAUAAUUUUGUCAUGCUUUAAUAUUUUUUGAUUUUAAAUAAACCGUAAUGAAAUCUUAUUUUCGAUUUGCUUGUAUUUAGACCAAUCAGCAGACUGUUGGAUAACAAUGUUAAUUCCAGUAAAAUCUGCCAGCUACUGCAGUAACAGUUUGUUAUGGGCAGCAUUUUUUAUUGCUUACUUCCUACAUUUGACUUCAAGAAUUCACAGCAAUUAAAAAAACGCUACACUGGACUAAAAUGAUUAUAGAUUGUAGAGGAGGGCAUUAUGACCAAAAAUAUUCAUCACAUUUGAAAAUUUGCGAUAACGAUAUAACUGACGAUAUAACUGACACUUGACAAAAUACUUUCAUAAGUAUUCACAAUACUUCCACAACUUUAUUCGUGCAAAAAAAAAAAAAUCAACGUAUUUUCACUUAAAACAAGCAGCUGUUUUUUAUGUGCAUUAAAGUUAUAUAAAAAUUUAACAGUGCAAAUGCAAAUUCCUUGCUGACAGUUUAACCAAAAGGCAUUUCCAGUGGAAAUUGGCCAACAUAUCCUCAGCAUAACCAUGUAUAAUAUCCACAAAACUUAAAAAGAGGUUAUACACACACAAUACGGUAAUAUUAUGUUGAAGCACAGUACGUAUCACUCCGCGAGGCUUCUGCCUACGAUAGCUGUAAUGCUCCGACAAUCCAUCAAGCGGUGCGGGUUCGUAGCUUAGCAAAGUCGUACUAAAACAUUUGACAGAUUUUCGAGCGCCGUGUACCACAUAAAAUCGUUUCAAGGUCAGUAAACACAACCAGAAUUCAUACAUAAGGCACACGGGAUUAUAAGGGGCACUGUCGAUUUUCAAAAAAAUCAAAGGAUUGAUUUUAAGUGUGCCGUAUUUUCCAAAAAACACGGUAAUAAUGACAGCCCGCUAGCAUGCACUACCAAAAGUAGUGCUUUGUUGUGUAUCUGACGGACAAAAGCUAAACCAAUUCCACACCACUGAAGUUGGAGCAUUUUUACAAACCAAUUCUGGUUCAUCCAUUUCAUUCAAUGAUCCGCUUUCACCCUUCUUAUUCUCUGUCGGUGGCACGCUUUUUCCGCCAUGUGCGUAUGAAAGGCACUGUGCAUGUGCGUUUUACCCAUAUUCUAUCGCGAUAUUUCAUUUUCUUAUCGUUGCCCGACAUUAUACCGGUAUUACCGUGAACGGUAUGAUAUGGCCCAGCCAUAAUGGAUUGUAUUUUUAUUUAUUCUGAACUUUAUCAUUAUUAUUUAUUGUUAACAUCUUUUUUUUUCUAGCCUCAAACCCAAAGUGUUACUUCCCCAGCAACCCACAACUGAAUUCCACAGCUUGGUUUGCUCAGUACAUCGGGUCUUUCGUCUCUUUCCUCACUCUGGAUGAUGUUGUGGCAUUUGGAUCUGAGUCGGUAAAGAAUCAACAUUGGCGGAAAUUUUGAACUGACGCUCAU